UUACCUGGUUUGAUCCUGCCAGUAGUCAUAUGCUUGUCUCAAAGAUUAAGCCAUGCAUGUCUAAGUACAGGCCGAAACAAGGCGAAACCGCGAAUGGCUCAUUAAAUCAGUUAUGGUUCAUUGGAUCUUACCUUGUUUUACUUGGAUAACUGUGGUAAUUCUAGAGCUAAUACGUGAUACCCCAGCUCCGACCGCAAGGAAAGAGCGCUUUUAUUAGAUCAAAACCAAUCGGGCUUCGGUCCGUUCUCACUGUGGUGACUCUGAAUAACUUUGAGCUGAGCGCAUGGUCUUCGAACCGGCGCCAUAUCCUUCAAGUGUCUGCCUUAUCAGCUUUCGAUUGUAGGUUAUGCGCCUACAAUGGCUAUAACGGGUAACGGGGAAUCAGGGUUCGAUUCCGGAGAGGGAGCCUGAGAAACGGCUACCACAUCUAAGGAAGGCAGCAGGCACGCAAAUUACCCACUCCCGGCCCGGGGAGGUAGUGACGAAAAAUAACGAUGCGGGACUCUUCCGAGGCCUCGCAAUCGGAAUGAGCACACUUUAAAUCCUUUAACGAGGAUCUAUUGGAGGGCAAGUCUGGUGCCAGCAGCCGCGGUAAUUCCAGCUCCAAUAGCGUAUAUUAAAGUUGCUGCGGUUAAAAAGCUCGUAGUUGGAUCUCAGUUCCGGACCGACGGUUCACCGCCCGGUGCUUACUGUCGGCUUCCGAACAGCCGCACGCCGGCUCGGCCAGGGUGCUCUUCAUCGAGUGUCCUGGUUUCGGCCGGCACGUUUACUUUGAAAAAAUUAGAGUGCUCAGCGCAGGCUGCAACGCCUGAAUAAUCUGUGCAUGGAAUAAUGGAAUAGGACCUCGGUUCUAUUUUGUUGGUUUUCGGAACCCGAGGUAAUGAUUAAUAGGAACUGUCGGGGGCAUUCGUAUUGCGACGUUAGAGGUGAAAUUCUUGGAUCGUCGCAAGACGGACUACUGCGAAAGCAUUUGCCAAGAAUGUUUUCAUUAAUCAAGAACGAAAGUUAGAGGUUCGAAGGCGAUCAGAUACCGCCCUAGUUCUAACCAUAAACGAUGCCAACCAGCGAUCCGCCGGCGUUAUUCCCAUGACUCGGCGGGCAGCUUCCGGGAAACCAAAGUCUCUGGGUUCCGGGGGAAGUAUGGUUGCAAAGCUGAAACUUAAAGGAAUUGACGGAAGGGCACCACCAGGAGUGGAGCCUGCGGCUUAAUUUGACUCAACACGGGGAACCUCACCAGGCCCGGACACCGGAAGGAUUGACAGAUUGAGAGCUCUUUCUCGAUUCGGUGGGUGGUGGUGCAUGGCCGUUCUUAGUUGGUGGAGCGAUUUGUCUGGUUAAUUCCGAUAACGAACGAGACUCA
rnacentral:rRNA from 1 species